rnacentral:rRNA from 1 species
AGCAGCCGCGGUAAUUCCAGCUCCAAUAGCGUAUAUUAAAGUUGUUGCAGUUAAAAAGCUCGUAGUUGAAUUUCGGGGUCUGUCCAUUGGUCGGGCUUUACGGUCCGUACUGGUGUGAUGGGUUCCUACCUUCUGAAUAACCAGCAUGCCAUUUAGUUGGUGCGCCGGGGAAGCAGAGCUAUUACCUUGAAAAAAUUAGAGUGCUUAAAGCAGGCUAGUGCUUGAAUAGAUUAGCAUGGAAUAAUAAAAUAGGACGGCAUGGUUCUAUUUUGUUGGUUUCUAGGAUCACCGUAAUGAUUAAUAGGGAUAGUUGGGGGCAUUAGUAUUCAAUUGUCAGAGGUGAAAUUCUUGGAUUUAUUGAAGACUAACUUCUGCGAAAGCAUUUGCCAAGGAUGUUUUCAUUAAUCAAGAACGAAAGUUAGGGGAUCGAAGACGAUCAGAUACCGUCGUAGUCUUAACCAUAAACUAUGCCGACUAGGGAUCGGACGAUGUUAAUUUUUUAAUGACUCG